GAUGAACGCUAGCGGCAGGCUUAAUACAUGCAAGUCGAGGGGCAGCGCGGGUAGCAAUACCUGGCGGCGACCGGCAAACGGGUGCGGAACACGUACAGAACCUUCCUUUAAGCGGGGAUAGCCCAUAGAAAUGUGGAUUAAUACCCCAUAGUAAUGUUUAAUGGCAUCAUUAGAUAUUUAAAGAUUAUCACUUAAAGAUGGCUGUGCGGCUGAUUAGGUAGUUGGUGGUGGGUAACGGCCCACCAAGCCAGCGAUCAGUAACUGGUGUGAGAGCACGACCAGUCACACGGGCACUGAGACACGGGCCCGACUCCUACGGGAGGCAGCAGUAAGGAAUAUUGGUCAAUGGACGCAAGUCUGAACCAGCCAUGCCGCGUGAAGGAUGAAGGCCCCUCUGGGGUUUGUAAAACUUCUUUUAUCGUGGGGAAGAAAUGCCCUUUGGUUUUUUAACGGGUUGACGGUACCAGAGGAAUAAGCACCGGCUAACUCCGUGCCAGCCGCCG
rnacentral:rRNA from 1 species